UUUUUUUUUUUUUUUUUUUUUUUUUUUUUAGAGCAGAUUUUAGCAAAUAAACAGGAUCAAAGUUAAACUGUACUGUGCAGAGGUGACAGACAUCAGGUGCUUCCCACUGGCAUUUACUCCUGGAGAGCUGUGGUGAAUUACUUGCAGAGGCAUUAGAAGUUCAGUAGGAAAUGGCUAGGCUUUUCAUAUGUUCAAAGGGAAUAAGGAAUUUCCAUUUAAAAUUCAUUACAAAUCAUUUAGGAGUAACUGAUAACUCCAGUUUAAAAUGCCUGUUUCUGAGUUAUAACUUUAAGAUGAAUUCAUAUACUAUUUAUCUGUGGAGCUUUAUUAUCUAAAUUUGCAUAUAAUACCUUCUGUGAGUUUUACCUCCUUCUUUGAUAGGAAAAUCUAUAGGCAUUCAAAUUAACCGGUUUCCCCACACCUUAGAAACCUUACUUGUGAAGUUGUGCUUUAUUUACAAUUUUGUUGUUUGUUUUGCUUUGGUUUGUUUUGAGAUAGGAUCCUGCUAUAUAACUCACGCUGGCCCUGAACUCAGUAUGUAGUUCAGGCUAGCAUGGAACUCACAGCCAUCCUUCUGCCUCUCAAGUGCUAGUAGUAUUAGUCACACACCACAUCACCUAGCCCAGUAUUUGUUCUUUAACACGUGGACAUAAAGCACAGUGGUCGUUCCAAGAGAGUUAAGUUUCUGUAACUGAGACCACUACUGGAGUUGGAAAGCAUGUUUGCCGGCAGCGAGUUUUCCCUUCUGUGUGCCUUAACUUUGUAUAGACAAUGAUCUCAGUGUUUCGAGAGCUGAAGCAGCCUUUGCAUUAAACAUCCCUCUUGUCACCGAAGAGACUUGUUUGCAUGACCAGCAGAGGCUGUAGUGCAUGUCUUUAGGAUUUCAUUGCUUUUCUGUGCCCCAGGUGUUCCCUGUACAUUGGCAUAACCCAUGUUUACUCCAUCAUCCCAGCUAGCCAAAAUUUGGGGGAUUACAGUUCAACCAAGAAGGAAGAAAUCCCAGGAAAUUUACUUUUGGAGAAUUGAAUUGUGAAGACUUGUUACAUUUAGUGUGUGGAGAGGCACUCGGGUACCACAUGUGGGAGUCAGAAGACAGCCUGUGGGAGUCGGUUCUCUCUUUCCACCACAUGGGUCUCAGGGAUCAAACUCAGAUCAUCAAGUCUGAUGAUCAGUAGGAGACUUUACCCGGUGAGCCAUCUUACCAGCCCAGGAUUUGUUUAGGUUGACAGUUAAAAUCAUUCCGAUGCCAUGUCUGACUCUUUGGAACUGAGUGCUAAUAUAGUUAAUAAUAAUUUAAGAACCCUAGUUUUCCCCCAGUGAAAUCCUCUACUCAAAUUUAGCUGAUAUUGCUGAGUACUUGCUAGACCUUGGGAGCCUUUCUAGACACUUCAUUUCUGUUUUUUUAUUGUAUUGGUUUUUGGAGACAGAGUUUCUCUAUGUAGUCCUGGAUGUCUUGGAACUCACUCUGCAGACCAGGCUGGCCUCGAAUUCAGAGAUCCACGUGCCUCUGGCUCCAGAGUGUUGGGAUCUGCAUGCACCACCACCUGGCUAGACACUUUAUGUAUGUGUUAUUUUAUUCACUGUUCUGGUUUGGUUUAGUUUUAGACUGCCCCACUCUAUUACCCUGGCUGGUCUAGAACUUACUCUGUAGACCAGGCUGGCCUUGAAUUCAGAGACCUCCCUGCCUCUGCCUCCUGAGUGCUGGAAUUAAAGGAAUAUGCCACUAUAUUCUCCCUAUUUUUUUUCUUUUUUUCUUUAAAGGUUUGUUUAUUUAUUAUGUAUAGUGUUCUGCCUGCAUGUAUUCAUGCAUGCCAGAAGAGGGUGUCAGAUCUCAUUAUAGAUGGUUGUGAGUUACCAUGUGGAUGCUGGAAAUUGAACUCAGGACCUCUGGAAGAGCAGCCAUUGCUCUUAACCUCUGAGUCAUCUCUCCAGCCCCUAAUCUCCCUAUUUUUGAGGAAGGGUCUUUCCUUGUAGUCGAAGCUGGCCUUGAACUCCCUGUCGGGCCCAAAAUAGUCUUUAAUUCAUAAUCCUUCUGCCUCAGCCUCUGAAGUGUUACAAUUAUAUGCACCAUGAUAUCUUGCUAGAUCUACCUUUUGGUACUAGUGGUUUUAGUUUCGUAAAAAUUGAGUACUUCAUUGUGAAUACUAUAAUGCAGUUAUUAAGAAAAUGACAACUAUAUCCUGUCCUUAAAAGUUCUCCUUUAUGCAGUAAUAUGUGUGUGUGUGUGUGUGUGUGUGUGUGAAUGUAACAAUACCCAUUAUUUUGUAUGCUUACUAAAAAAUUAAUUUAAAAAUCUCAUUUAGAGAUUGUAGAUUUAAAGUAAAUCAAGUUUACUAAGAGUUUUGUUUGUUUUGGAGGGAGCUUGUUUUGUGGGUUAUUUGGGUUUUUCUCUUUUUUGAGAUGGGGUCUCAUGUACCCUAGGCUAGCCUCAAACUGUCUAUAGCUGUUUGUCCUCUCUCCGCCUUUGAAGUGCUGGGAUCAUGGACACAUACACCGUGUCCAGCAUAUUUGAACACUUCUAAGGGCAGACUCCAGGCCAAACACAGGCAGUUCCAGAGACCUUGCUUGAAUGGAUGGAUGCGUACUUUACGAGCACAGUGUUCCAGUUACCACAGAGCCUGGGCGGUACAGUGCUGAGCCCGGCCCUGGCUGACGUGCAUCACCGCACAGAUCUGGUGUGGCAACAGCCCCACCAUGCCUGCACUUGUGAGGUUGUGCCUCUCAGUAUCCACUGCACCCCAGCCUGGGCAGCAGAUCCUAAAACCCCUCAUAUGAAUAAGUAGCAGGUAGUGGUGUGCCUAAGCUUUCCAUUAAGGUGACCACCAUAGACAACUUUUUUUUUUUUUUCAUUUUAAGCCCAUUUUAGAAACAGCCAUUGAUAGUAUUUCUACCUAAAACAAAGAUUGUGUUUUAUUGUGGUUACUGGGUCUUGCAAGAAACUGUCUCUUGAAGAAAAAAAAAAAAAAACCAACUAUUUUCAAAGAGGAGUAAACAGGGGAAAAAAGAAACUGAGAAACUGUCUCAGAUAAACAUUGUAUAGAGCAGACACAAUAAAUUUAGAUUAUUUCAGUGUGAAAUUUCUGUAGAAAAAAUAAUAUACAAGUUUAAGCUAGGCAUGGUGGCACAUGCCUUUAAUCCCAGCAAUUUGGCAGACAGGCAAGAGGAUCUCUUCAAAUUCAAGGCCAGCCUAAUCUGCAUAGUUCCAGGACAGCCAGGACUACUUAGUGAAUCUCUCACUCUCUCAUACACACACACACACACACACACACACACACACACACACACACACACACAUCCCAUUCAUGGUCAAAAUACACACAGGCACUAACUAGAUAAUCUAAAUUCUAACACCUUAUCCAGGACCACCCAGACCUGAGAAUUGUGAUCUGAUUUUAUGCUAAAAAGUCAAGAAAGGAGUUUGAGAGUUCUGGAGGAGGGGGCUGUUUGUGUUGUUGGUCUUGUCUCCUCACAGCCCAGAAGACACCCUUCAAGAACCAGAUAAUUAGUGACUGUGCUGACAGCAGGCCAAGACUUUGUGGCCCUUUUCAAUACAGAGGCAGAGACUGUGACAAUGUAGCCACAACUGUAGACAUUGGAGGACAGGAAACUAAUUCUCCACCACAAGUCACAUCAUUAAUAAAAAUAAAAAAAUUAAAAAAAAAAAUAAAAAGCUUCAAAGCAAGAUUAAAGAUUGGAUCUAGGUAGAAUUAGCAAUGAUAGUCAACCUUUUCUGUAAUUUGUAAGGAGGGGGGAAAAAAAGUGUCCCCAAAGUGAUGGUUAGUUAAAAUGUUGUAGUAAGGAGAGAAAUCCCUAGAGACUUCAGGAUAAUAAGCAGGGGUUAGCAGGAAGGUGACAGUGUUCAUUUCUGUGGUAUUCCUGGCCAAACAAGCUUUUGUAGGCCCGCUGGGAAGGUAAUCACAAUUUCCAUGGGAAAAUAGAUUCCAGGUUCCAGACAAGUAAUUUAGAGAUGUUGUAGAACACAGCCACUAAUAAGUGUAGACUUGUGCGCUCCUCAGCAUGUCCUUCUGGUAGAUGGCCAGAGUUGAGUAGAAAGGCGGGGGAAAUGUGGGAGCCAAUCCGCUCGUUGGGAUGAAAGGGAGAAGGGAACUGUGAAUGGAGCUCAAUGGAGAAGAAGAAAGACAAAACAGGUUGUCCUGCAGGAGGACAGGAAAAACUUCCCUGACUCAAAUUAGACUGUUUGUCUUUACUCCGUAAGGAUUGCAGCUCCUUGGUGUCACGUGAUCUAACAGACAUUUGCAUUUUGUUUUCUUCUUUGUUUUUCUCUAUUCAGAGACAGGCUUAUUCAGAGACAGGCUCUCAAACUCGCCUGGAAUUUACUAUGUAAACCAGACUGGCCUGGAAACUGGCGGCCCUUCAGGCGCAGCCUCCCAAGUGUUACGAUCACAGGCUUUAGCCUGUGUCUGACUCUUUUUUAGACUUAUAACCAGGAGGGCCAGUGUGUAUGGUGGCUCAGCAGAGAAGGACACUCACUGCACAAGUGUGGCAACCUGGGUUCGAUCCCUUGGCGUGAACAGGCUCCACAGAGCUCUCCCCAGGCCAUCACACCUGCACGGUGACACUCCCAUGCCUCCUCCACCACCACACAAUAACAGAAGUCGUGUGCCUAUUUUAAAUACAUUAAGAGCAAUUAUGUAAUCUACUACAGACAGAAUUUGUCCUUCAAAUGCUGCAACAAUGGCUCACCUCCGUUUGUGGGAGGAUGUCCAGAUGUAUCCUGUCGCCCUGUCCAGGAUGAUGUUAACAUCAACCUCAGGGAAGGCCGUUAGGCCAGCCUUAAGCCAAGUGGUAGGCUUUAUGUCUGUAUUGAGGAGGGAGGGAGAACUGUUACUUACAUUUUAUUGAUUUGUUUCUUGGUUUUUUGUUUUGUUUUUUGUUUUUUUCAAGACAGGGUUUCUCUGUGUGGCUUUGGAGCCUGUCCUAGAACUCACUCUGAAGACCAGACUGGCCUUGAACUCACAGAGACCCGCCUGCCUCUGCCUCCCGAAUACUGGGGGAUUAAAGGCUUGCGCCACCACCGCCCAGCCUUGUUUCUGUUUUUGAAACAAGACCGUCUCUGUAUAUGGUUCUGGCUGACCUCAAUUACUAUGUAACCAGGGCAGGACUCAAAAUCACAAUAAUCCUCCCAAUUGAACCUAAUACUGGAAUCAUAGACAUGUGCCACUGUGCCCAACCGUUACCUAAAAUUUAAGAGCAGGACUGGAAAGAUGGCCUAGCAGUUAAGAGCACUGACUGCUCUUCCAGAAGACCUGGAUUCAAUUCCCAGCCCCCACAUAGUGGCUCACAACUCUCUGUAACUCCAGUUCCAAGGGAUCCACAACACCCUCUUCUGGCCUCUGUGGGUACCAGGCAUGCAUGUAGUACACAGACAUACAUCUAGGCAAAACAUCCAUACUCAUAAAAUAAAAAUAAAUAAACUGAAGAGCAAUGAGUCUGAGCACUUUAUACAAUAGUUGCUAAUGGUAAGAUAUGUUGUCAUAAGUAAGAGAUAAACUAAGACAAUGGUUCAGAGCCAAGUGUGGCAGUGCACACAUAUAUCCCAGACCACAGAGGCUGAGGCAGGCCGCUCCUGUGAGUUCAGGAGUUCAAGACCAGCUUAAGCAACGUAGUGCAAUUCCAUGUCAAAAUGAGGAGGGCUGAGGAUGUAGUUCUGUUGGUGACAUGUUUGCCUAGCAUUCAGGAAGCCCUGGGUUCGGUCCCCAGCACUGGAUAAACAGGACGUAGCAGCAUACACCUACAAACCCAGCACCUAGGAAGAUCAGAAGUUCAAGGACAUCCUCAGUUAAACAGAGUCUGAGGCAGGCCUGUGUUCCUGACCAUGUGGGACUGGGGAGUGGGGAGAGAUAAGUAGAAUUGGAGGAAAAUACAAGAUGCCAUUCUAAGAAACACCAUGUAACUAUUCUCCCAGGCCAUCUUUUUUUUUCUUUCUUUCCUGUUAGAAGCGAGUUUCUGUUUCCCUCAGAUCAAAUGCAUAUGUAUGUAUACAUAAAUACAUAAAGUUAAUACGCAUUUCAAUAUGGAAUCUUCAUUUUUUGCUGGAAUAGUAUGCUGCUAUUAUCUUUUGCUUCUAGAACUAUCUUAGCUGAGAUGAGAAAAAUGUAAGAUUCUUUAAAGAUAAAUUUGUGUUUUGUAUGUAAAUGCUGGUACCCUCAGAGGCCAGACAAGGGCUCUGGAUCCCCAGGCUGGAGUUAUUAGCAAUUGUAAGCCGACAUGUGGGUGUUGGGAAAGAAGCCUGGCUUCCCAACAAAAGCAACAAGAAAAAGUGAAAGAUUCUUCUCUGUUUUUGUUUGUUUGCUUGUUGGUUGGGGUGUGUGUGUGUGGGGGGGGGGUGUGUUUUGGUUUGGUUUUUGGUUUUUGUUUGUUUAGGGGUUUUUGUUUUUGUUUUUUGGUUUUUUUUGGUUUUUUGAGACAGGGUUUCUCUGUGUAGCUUUGGAGCCUUUCCUGGAACUCACUCUGUAGCCCAGGCUGGCCUCGAAUUCACAGAGAUCCGUCUGCCUCUGCCUCCCGAGUGCUGGGAUUAAAGGCGUGCACCACCACUGCCCGGCUGGUUUUUGGUUUUUUUUAAGACAGGUUUCUCUGUAUAACUGCCCUGGCUAUCCUGGAACUCCUUCUAUAGACCAAGCAGCCCUCAAACUCACAGAGAUCCAACUGUUUCUGCCUCCCACAUGCUGGGAUUAAAGGCGUGCGCCGCCACCCAGCCCAUCUUGGGAUUUUUCUCUCUGUCUCUCUGUCUGUCAUUCUCUCCCUCUCCCUAGCAGUGAGAGAGGGUUUUGUGUAUUUAUAGUUCUAUUUGCUGACACUGCUAUUCACAGUGACGCAUGUGUCUGUCUGUCGGUCUGCAGUCCCAACUCCUGGAUAUGGAGGCAGCAGAUCACAAGAGCCCCAGAGUUUGAAGUCCACCUGGACAUUAGAAGAAGACCCAGAGUUUGUGGUUGGGGUGGGGGUGAGAGAACAAACCAAGAAUAACAGCCCGGCGAUGGUGGUGCAAGCCUUUAAUCCCAGCACGUGGGAGGCAGAAACAGUUGGAUCUCUGUGAGUUCGAGGCCAGCCUGGUCUACACAGCGAGUUCCAGGAAAGGAGCAAAGCUACACAGAGAAACCCUGUCUCGAAAAAAAAAAAAAAAAAAAAAACAACAAGCAUAACAACAGGUAAGCAUGUUCUGGACAGGUUUCCUCACUUCAACCAAUCCUCCCAGCUCUCUGGAUGUACUGGGGUGUCGUACAGUUGCUCAGAAGUGACACUGUGACAGCAGUUAGCACAAGUUGUCAUCCGAUCCCACAGGUUUAGUGGCUCAGUUCCAUAAGACAACCCUCACUCCAGGCACUAGUCCCAAGCAUCAGGUCCCAGGCGACCCACACUUAUAUCCCACGUAGCCACAAAGUCAGGAGUACCACAACUUCUAGUUUGAUGAUUUGCUAGACCUGCUUAUACAAACAGGAACAGUCCUGGUUUAUCAUGAGGACUCUCACCCAGGGUCAGCCGAAUGGAUGAGCAGGAGGGGCUGGAGAGGCGUACCACCCUCUGAGCUCCGGUGUUUUCUCCACCCUGGAAGCUUCCAUACCCGGGCGUGUGGCGGACUGAUGGAGGGUCAGUCACGUAGACAUGCUUAAUUAUUAAUUCCGUCUCCUGACCCUUUUCCUUCUCUGGGGCCACGGGGUCGGCAAUGAAGGUUUCAGGCCUCUGACCAAGGUCUGGUCUCUCUGGUCACGACUCAUCCCUAAGGUGAUUGGGGGCAGGUCAAGGGUCACUCAUUGGAAAGAUACUCUUUUGACCCAGGAAUUCCAAGAGCUUUCAGAACUCUGAGGGACCAGAGAUAAUGGUCAAAUACUAGAACAGAAGGCACCUACAUCUGUCAUCUAGAAAAUUGUGUGUGUGUGGGGGGGAGGUUUAGAAGCUUUGUGUCAGCAAACAAGGACAGAGAGCAUGCAUACAUUUCUUAUACAAUACACACUAACUUUUUACUUUGAAGUAGAAGCAGAAAGCAGUCAUCAGGGGCUGGAGAGACAGCUCAGUGAGGGGUUAGGAGGAUCCAGUUUCAGUCACCGGCACCACGUGAUAGUUCGGAGUCUAACUCCAGUUCCAGAGGCUCUGAGGCUUCUCCUGGCCUCUGAGAGCAUUUCACACUAGUGGUACACAUGCAUACUUGCAGGAAAAACACUCUUACACAUGAGAAAUAAACAAGUACAUCUUUUUAGAAAUCCUUUACAAAUGUAUUAAUUGCCCUAAUUUUCACUUUUGGAUUAUACUCAUUAAUAUUUUUUGUUUUGUUUUGUUUUGUUUUGUUUUUAAGACGGUUUCUCUUGAAGCCCUUGGCCAAUCAGCUUUUUGUUAACAAUGAGAGCAAAAACACAUCUUCACAGGGUACAGAAGGAUUAUUCCACAGCAACUAUGUAGACCAGGCUGGCCUCGAACUCACAGAGAUCUGCCUGCCUCUGUCUCCUGAGUGCUGCAGUUUAAAAAGGUGUGCUCCAUUAGGCCCAGCAAAAGAAUUUCCUCCUCAAAACAAGUGUUUGUUACAUGCUGUAAGAUCUUCUGUGACACCUGGUGAGAUGGAUUAGUGGAUAAAGGCCACCCCAGAACCCAUGUGGUGAAAAGAGCUGAGCCCUUAAAGCUGCCCUCCGGCCUCCACAUUCAUGCCACGGCACAUGUCAACACACACACACACCCACACACACAUAGACGUAACAAAGUUUUGAAAAGAGAUUCCUAGCUGAAACACUUACGUUGCCUGGUGUGUGUAUGUUAAUAGUUCUGUUUUCAUUUACCAUAGCUUAAUUUUUUUUUAAUCUUAUUUUGUAGGCUUGUUUGGUUUGGUUUCAUGUUGCUCAGGCUGGCUUCAAACUCUGUAUGUUGCUGAAGAUCACCCCGAACUCAUCCUCCUGCCUCCACUCGCCAAACGCUGGGAUUAUGGAGACAGCUACUAUGCCCAGCAAGGCAGUUUGAUUUUGGAAGAGAUGGUGUGCUUCAAAAGACAGUGCCUGUUGUCUCGGCAUUUGGGAGGCAGAAGCCGGAGGAUCGGGAGUUCAAAUCCAUCCUUGGCGGUACAGUGAGUUUGAAGCCAAUCUGGACUACAAGUAACUCUUUUUUGCAAAAAACAAAAUAAGCAAAAGAUGGCAUAGUUCAACAGUGUUAACAAUUGUGAUGAAAUAUUAUAGAUUCAGAAGAGUAAAUGUGCCGGGCAAUGAUGGUGCAUGCCUUUAAUCCCAGCAUUUGGGAGGCACAGGCAAGAGGAUCUAUGUGAGUUCAAGGCCAGCCUGGUCUACGAAGCAAGUUCCAAGACAGCCAGGACUCUGUUACACAGAGAAACCCUGUCUCAAAAAAAACCAAACAAAACAAAACAAAAAACACCAAAAGGGGGAGGGGAGCAAUUAGUAACAAGUUUAAGCUAUCAGCCGAGCAUUUAUAAUGAAUAAGUCUUUGAAUGGUUAUUUGGGGGUGUCUAGCAGGACAGAGAAAGUUCACCUACAUAGUGACUUCCAAGCCAGCCUGGGCCACACAGAGAAACCCUGUCAUGAAAACUCAAACCAAACGUUAUUUUUAAUUACAGAUAUGGGUGUGUGCAUGUGAGUGCAGAUGCCUUCAGGGACCAGAAUCUCCUGGACCUGGAGUUACAGGUGGUUGUGAGCUGCCCUGUGUGGGUGCUAGGAACCAAACUUGAGCCCUCUGCAAGGGCAGGAUGUGCUCUUAACCAUUGAGCCAUCUCUCCACCCCCUACACUUUCUCAUCUUAACAGUUGGAAGGACCAGCAAGAUGGCUCAGCAGGUAAAGGCACCUGCCACCAAGCCUGAGGACCAGAGUUUAAUCCCCAGAAACCAAAUGGCAGAAACAGAACCAAUUCCUGAAAAUUGUCCUCUGAUUUCUACUUGUGUGCUACAAUGUACACACACACAGACAGACAGACAGACACACACACACAGGUUAAAAACUAAUAAAACAAUUGGAAGAAAACAAAUUCUAGCAGGUGAAUUUGUAAGUUACAUGGAUGGCCCCUCUGAUUCUAGGAAGAAGUAACUGGUGUGUUUUUGUAACGUGGCUAGCACUCUGCUCUCCGAUUGCAUCAGUUUCUCACUCAUAUCCUUUCUGUGUUCCAGUUGCUCAGUCCUUCCUGUCUUUCCUAACCUCAUCACUCUGGAAGACUACUGCUCUUCAUUUGGUAGAAUGUCUCUUACUUUGGGGUUUUUCCAGUGUUUUUUGUUUGUCUUCAUGAUUAGAUGGGGGUAGUAUAUUUUUUGCAAGAAUCUCAGUUGUAAUGACCUGCACAUGAUGUCAAUGUAUUAUUAAUAAUUAUGUCAUUUACUAUUUCUGCCAUAACAAAUCACAGAUUUAACAUUUGAAAGCAACACCCAUUUAUUAUCUGUUUCUGGGAGUCAAAAGAGUAUGGCUGGCCUCCUGCAGCUACCUGGGAAUCCCAAAGCAAAGUCCACCUGUGGGUUAGACUGCCUUCUCCUCUGAGUCCGAUUGUCGGUCGAUCCCUUGAGAUCAGAUACUGAACAGCUGUCUUGUUGGCUAGCAGCUGAGAAUCCCUCUCAGCUCCUAGAAGACACUUCCAGGCUGUUGUCCCAUGGCUCCACAUCUCCAAAGGCAGCAGAUUUCCCCUGCAUACAGUCCUUCUCACACUUUCUCUACUUCUAGACUCAAAUUGGAAAUGUUGCAUGAAGUUGGGCAUGUGGCACAUUCCUGGAACCCCACUGUUUGGAAGGAAGCCUGAGGUUAAGGAUUGCUGCGAAUUUGAGUCCAGCCUGGACGACUAAGUGAGACCACAACAUGAGACCCUAUUUCAAAGAGAGGAGAAGGGUGAGGGAAGAAGGGAGGGAGGGAGGGAGAAAUGGUUGUCUGCUCUAGAGGUGUUUUCUUCUGUUUUGUUUUCCAAGACAGGGUUUGCCUGACCUGGAACUCGAUUUGCAGGCCACGCUGGCCUCGAACUCACAGAGAUCCGCCUACCUCUGCCUCCCAAGUGUUGGGAUUAAUGAAGGCGUGUGCCACUAUGCCCAGCAUCCAACACAAAUUUAUUAUCUCGUCAUUCUGGAAACAAAAAUCCAAAAUAGUAUUUCCCUGGUUAAAAUUAAGAUGGUUAGUAAGGUCAGCUGUGAUGACCUCCGACCUGCACACAUGCUCCACUUAUACACGUGGUUAGUCCUGGCACUUGGAAGGAGGCUAUCCCAGUCUACACAACAGCUAGUUCCUGGCUACACUCUAUCUCAAAACAAACAACAACAAAGAUAUUAAGAUCACACUGUUGGGCCGGAGAGAUGGCUCAGAGGUUAAGAGCACUGACUGCUCUUCCAGAGGUCCUGAGUUCAAUUCCCAGCACCCACAUGGUGGCUCACAACCAUCUGUAAUAAGAUCUGGUGCUCUCUUCUGACCUGCAGGCAUACAUGCUGCACACAUAAUAAAUAAAUAAAUCUAAAAAAAAAAAAAACAUCACACUGUUCCCAGAGGCAGCAGGGGUAAUCUACAGCCUUUCUUCAUGGGCCUUCUGUUUUCAUCUUCACAGCCAGCAGCGUGAGAUCUUCCAGGCUCUCUCUGACUCUGACCCAUAUGGCUUGCUCUUAUAAAGACCCUUUGGUUCUGGUAGGCCCCCCUGGAGAUACAGGGUCAUCUCCCCAUACAGAAUCUUUUUUUUUUUUUUUCAAGACAGGGUUUCUCUGUGUAGUUUUGGUGCCUUUCCUGGAUCUCAUCUGUAGACCAGGCUGGCCUUGAACUCACAGAGAUCCGCCUGCCUCUGCCUCCUGAGUGCUGGGAUUAAAGGCAUGCACCACCACCGCCCGGCCAGAAUCUCUUGUGCAAGCCUAUUCACAGGUCCAGGGAAUCAAGACAUGACGCCCUUAGGAGCCACUACUCUGCUUCCCACAUGAACAUAUUUGGACUAGUGAGAUAAUUGACCACUCCAACAUAAAACUGGUUUUGUUUUAACCACUGAGCCAUCUCUCUUCCCCUCUGGUUUUGUUUUAAGGUGGGAUCCCUGCUGUGUAUCCCAAGCUUGCAAUGUAUCAUAAUGCCCUGCUUAGAAAAUGAUUUUGUUGGUAUGGUAGCCUGAACCAGGGAUUCGCAGAUGCUAAGCAAGUAUUCUACCACUGAGAAUCAACUCCAUGCUCUUUUGUUUGUUUCUUAAAUAGGGUCUCUAGCCUAUCUCAGAUUCCUUGUGUAGGGAUGACCUUGAAUUUCUGAUCCAGUUUCCACUUCCCAAGUGCUAGGAUCCCAGGCACGUGCCACCACACCCCAUUUAUGUGGUGCUGGGUGUCAGAACCUGGGCUUCGUGCAUACACGGCAAACACUCUACCAAGCAACUCUACCGUGUUUGUUGUGUUUUGUUUUGAGGCAAGUUCUCACUCUAGUCCGGGCUAGCCUGGAACUCACGGUGGCCUCAAAUUCACAGUAACUCUCCUGCCUCAGGCAACCAAGUCCUGAGAUUACAGGCAUUAGCCAUGACCAUGUCUGGCACUUUGAAGAAAUUUUAUUUUUACAUUAGUCUAAAUUUUUAAUAAAAGUAGUGUCAUUAAUUCCCCACUGCCAGGACACUGGUUUUAAUUUUGUUCUCCAGCAACAGUGAAAAACUGUUGGUCCAUCUGUCUGCUCUUCUCCUUCAUAUUUGUACCAAGAGGACAGAUUUUCACCCAGCUGUAAGUUAGAGACCAUUGGGAGCCCCCUGACAUGGGUACUGGCAACUGAACCUGAGUCCUGCGAGAGCAACAAGUGCUCUUAACUGCUGAGCAGCUUCCAGCCCCACUUUCAUUCCUUUUUAAAGAUCAAACUCUUGGGAAUGAGUCUGCGGUUCAGUUCUGUAAUCCGAGGUCCUCAGGAAAUGAGGCAAGAGAGUGCUAAAUGCCAGACAUGGCUCAGUGAGAUCCUGUUGGAGGAGAAUAUUUUCAGAGAGCUGGAGAUACAGCCAGGUGGUAGAACACAUGCCUAGUCUGGGUAGGGCCCAGAAGUACCCCAAGAGUACCAAAGAAGAAGGAAACUAAAGAGAAAUCCAAAUUCCUACAGCCAUCCCUGGUGCCCUCAGGAGGCUGGGGAAGAAGCAUCACAAGUUCAAGGAAAGCCUGCAUUCCAUGGAGAGGUCAUCUCAAAGUCAGCAAUUUCAUAAAUGUGGAACUGCUUAAUGCUUAACAGGACACUAGCAGCCACACUUGGUGGGGUGUGCUGUUGUGGACUCUUACUCUAACUAUGUGAAGGUGUGUUACACUUGUUCUGCUGCCUUUGUUAACAUGGAAAGACAUGUUACUUUUGUUUGUGCUGCAUUUGUUUAACGAUGUAAAGAUGUGUUGCAUUUGCUUCACCUUGUCUGCCGAAGGCACCUGAUUGGCCUAAUGAAAAGCUGAGUGGCCAAUAGCUAGGCAGCGGAGGGAGAGGUGAGGCUGGCAGGCAGAGAGAACAAGUAGAAGAAAUCUAAGCUCUGGAGAGAAGAAUGAGAGGAGAGAAAGAGGGAGAAAGAGAGGGAGCCCCCCAGGGGCAGCCAGGCAGCUGGGUGGAGUAGGACAUACAGAAGGAAAGAAAGGUAAAAAGCCUGAGGCAAGAUGUAGGUAAGUUAUAAGAGCUAGCAAGAAACGAAGUUAAGCAAGGGGUUGGGGAUUUAGCUGGGGUUGGGGAUUUAGCUCAGUGGUAGAGCUCUUGCCUAGCAAGUGCAAGGCCCUGGGUUCCGUCCUCAGCUCUGGAAAAAAAAAAAAAAAAAGAAACGAGUUAAGCUAGGCCAAGCAUUCAUAACUAAUAUUAAGUCUCCAUGUCAUGACUGGGGACCUGGUUGGUGGCCUGCUACAGCACGCCUAUAAUCCCGAUAUUUUAUAGGCUGAGGCAGCAGGAUUGCACAGAGUUCUCUUGGGUACACAAUGAGUUUCAGGCCAGCCUGGGAUAGUGUCUCAAAAAUAAAGGAGCAAUAACUAAUAAAUGUGUAAGUGUUAUUACCAGCAUCUCACAGAUAAUAGUAAUGGAUUACCAUGACAGUUAACUUUCUUUUUAAGACAAGCUCUCACGUAUCCCAGACUGGACUUGAACUUGCGAUGAAGCCAAAGAUGACCAUGAACUUAAAAAAAGUUUUACUUUAUUUGUAUGAGUGUUUUGCCUGAAUGUCUGUCUGUCUUAGUUUGGGUUUCUAUUGCUGUGAAGAGACACCAUGACCAUGGCAACUCUCUUUUUUUGGGGGGUGGGGUUUUGAGACAGGGUUUCUCUGUGUAGUUUUGUGCCUUUCCUGGAACUUGCUUUGUAGACCAGGCUGGCCUUGAACUCACAGAGAUCCACCUGCCUCUGCCUCCCGAGUGCUGGGAUUAAAGGCGUGUGCCACCACCGCCCGGCAACCAUGACAACUCUUUUUUUAAAAUUAAUUAAUUAGUUAAUUUUUCUAUUAUCAGCUUGAUACAGUAUAAAUUCUUAUCCUAAUAGUGAAAUGUUUCAUUGAGGCUUGCCCAGUAAAAGUGAAGUAAAACCAAAACUUAUUAUAAGCCACAGUCAUCCUUGGGUCACCCCUGCUAUAUAGCCUUCCUGGUUCUGUGGGUUGCAGUCUGAUUGUUCUUUGCUUUAUAUCUAGAAUCCACUUAUGAGACUGUACAUACCACGUUUGUCCUUCUGGGUUUGGGUUACCUCACUCAGGAUGAUUAUUUUCUAGUUCCAUCCAUUUGCCUUUAAAUUUCAUGCUGUCAUUGUUUUUCUCUGCUGAGUAGUACUCCAUUGUGUAUAUAUACCACAUUUUCUUAAUCCAUUCUUCAGUUGAUGGGCAUCUAGGUUGUUUCCAGGUUCUGGCUAUUACAAAUAGUGCUGCUAUGAACAUAGUUGAGCAUGUAUCUUUGUGGUAUGAUUGAGCAUUCAUUGGGUAUAUGCUCAAGAGUGGUAUGGCUGGAUCUUGAGGUAGAUUGAUUCCAAUUUUCUGAGAAACCGCCAUACUGAUUUCCACAGUGGUUGUACAAGUUUGCACUCCCACCAACAGUGGAGGAGUGUUCCCCUUGCUCCACAUCCUCUCCAACAUAGACUGUCAUUAGUGUUUUUGAUCAUAGCCAUUCUGAUAGGUGUAAGAUGAUACCUCAGAGUCGUUUUGAUUUGCAUUUCUCUGAUGAUUAAGGAUGCUGAGCAUUUCUUUAAAUGUCUUUCAGCCAUUUGUGAUUCUUCUUUUGUGAAUUCUCUGUUUAGCUCUUUAGCCCAUUUUUUAAUUGGAUUGUUCAGUAUUUUGAUGUCUAGUUUCUUGGUGGGGUGUGCUGUUGUGGACUCUUACUUUGGAGAUCAGUCCUUUGUCAGAUGUAGGGUUGGUGAAGGUUUGUUCCCAUUCUGUAGGCUGUCUUUUUGUCUUAUUGACCAUGUCUUUUGCAUGGCAACUCUUAUAAAGGAAAACAUUUAACUGGGUCUGGCUUACAGUGUUGUGGAAUAUUAGUUGAAGAUGUGUUAUAUUUGUUUAUGCUUUGUAAUAUUUGUUUAAUGAUACAAAGAUGUGUUACAUUUAAUCCCAGCACUUAGGAGGCAGAGGCAGGCGGAUCUCUCUGGGUUUGAGGCUAGCCUGGUCUACAAAGUGAGUUCCAGGAUAGCCAGGGCUGUUACACAGAGAAACUCUGUUUUGAAAAAACAAAAACAAAAAAAAAAAAAAGAAACAAGCCAAGCUAAGGCUGGGCAUUUAGAAGUAAGAAUAAGCCUCAGUGUAUUUAUUGGCCCCUCAAAGAGCAAAGAGUAACAAAAACAAACAAACAAACAAACAAAAAACUAUAUUAUAGGUUUAGAGGUUUAGUCCAUUAUCAUCAUGGCAGGAAGCAUGGUGGCAUGCAGGCAGACAUGGUGCUGGAGAAGGAUCCAAGAGUUCUACAUGUGAAUCUGAAGGCAGCAGGAAGAGAGAGACACACUGGGCCUGGCUUGAACAUCUGAAACCUCAAAGCCCACCCCAGUAAUACACUUCCUCCAACAAGGCCACACCUCCUAAUAGUGCCACUUCAUAAUGACCAAGCAUUCAAAUCUAUGAGCCUAUGGGGACCAAUCUUAUUCAAAGCACCACAAUGUCUGUAGACCAUGUGCAUGCCUAGUGCCCAUGGAGGUCUGAAAAGGGCACUGGGUUCGUGGGAUUGGAGUUACAGAUGAUUGUGAGCUGCCAUAGGGUGCUGGGAAUCAAACCUGGUUCUCUGGAAGAGCAGCCAGUGCUCUUAACUGCUGGGCCAUCUCUCUAGCUGGACCAUGAACUUCUGAUCCUCCUGUGGCCACCUCUGAAGAGCUGAGACUACAGGCAGCUUGAAUGUCAUUGGCCCCCAUAAUCUCCUGGGAGUGGCACUAUUAGCAGGUGUGGCUUUGGUGGAGUGGGUGUGGCCAUGAUGGAGGAAAUGUGUCACUGUGGGGGCGGGCUUUGAGGUUUCCUAUGCUCUGGAUACCACCCAAUGUUUCGGUCGACUUCCUGUUCCCUGCAAACCAAGUUGUAGCUAGCACCACAUCUGCCUGCACACUACCAUGCUUCCCACCAUGAUAAUGGACUGAAUCACUGAACCUGUAAGUAAGCCACCCCAAUUAAAUGUUUUCUUUAUAAGAGUUGCUGUGGUCUGGGCUGGAGAGAUGGCUCAGAGGUUAAGAGCACUGAGUGCUCUUCCAGAGGUCCUGAGUUCAAUUCCCAGCAACCACAUGGUGGCUCACAACCAUCUGAGAUCUGGUGCCCUCUUCUGGCAUGCAGGCAUGCAUGUAGACAGAACAUUGUAUACAUAAUAAAUAAAUUAAAAAAAAAUAAAAACAAAGUGUUACUGUUGUCAUGGUGUCUCUUCACAGCAAUAGAACCCAAACUAAGACACAGGCGCUAUGCUACCAUGUCCAGUUGAUGCUUAUGAGGUGCUACAGAUGGAACCCAGAGCCUUGUACAUGCUCAUUAAACACUCUACCAACUGAGCUACUUCUCCAUCCCCUACGACUGUUAGUAUCCUCAACUGGGUUAGAUUGAGAAGUGCUUAGAUUUGUAAAGCACACUGUGUGAGGGCACUUCCAGAGCAUUGGCUAAGGUAUGUGUGGAGGGGGAGCCUUCCUGGAAUGUGAACGACACCACUCAAUGUCUGUGGGCCAGAGGAAUAAAUAAAGGGAAGGAGUGAAGAAGCCCGCCAUUUCUCCAUCUGUUUCCUAGUGAUCUUGAAGGAGCAGCACCUACAUCUUCCCAGAUCCAAUGGACUGCAAACAAAAUCAAAACAAAUCUUUCCUCUUGAGUUGUUUCUCAGUUAUGGUUACAAUAAUGAAAAAUGUCUAAAAUGGUGGUAGUAGCUUAUCAAUGAUGGAGCUAGAGUCAUACUUGAGAACUGAUCCUACAGCUUUCUCUCUCAAUAAAUGGAUGAUGGAUCUCUCACAGUGCUGCCACCAGUAAGUAGUGCUAGACAUCAUGGUUGCUUCGAAUUCUGUUCACAGCUUAACGAUGUCUCCCAACUUUGUCACAGUUGAAAUAUGUAAUUUCAACAGACAGAAAAUAUACAAGGUGAAAAUCUCAGAAGUAAACUAAAUGCUUUACAGAUUUAGAUUUACAUCACAAUCCUGCUUAUAUAUGAAGGGUUUUUUUGAGACAGGGCCUUGUGUCCUAGGUAGGCCCCAAGCUUGCUGUGUAGUCGAGGAAGAUAUUAGCUUUGAUCCCGACUCCACCUCCUGAGAGUGGGGAUUACAGAUAAGUGCCAGCAUGCCCACUUUUGUGCAGUGCUAGGAUUUGAGCCCAGGGCUCUCUGUCCAUGCUAGCCAAGCAGUCUACCUUUCUAACCCCAGAACAGUUCUCACAUGUGACAGCCUAAGUAUUUCAUUCAUGGGAAUGUGUUUUCCUACUUAAGACCUCCAGAGUACGUUUUCAUUUCUUCUUUUUUUUUUUUUUUUCCUUUGAGAUAGGGUUUCUGUGUAGCCCUGGAUAUCCUGGAACUUGCUUUGUGGCCUGAGACUCAGGAGACCCUUCUACCCCCAAAGUGCUGAGACUGAAGACGUGCGCCACCACACCCGGCUCUUUUCAUGUUCUUGAAGCAAGUUUCCCAGUCCUACAUCAUGUAGUUUUUUUUCUUUUCAUGUGUUUGUGCUUGGUGCACAUGUGCGUGUCCACAUGUCUGCAGGUGUGAGGGUGUGCGUGUAUGUUUAAGCAUGCAUGUGGAGGCCUGCAGUUGAUGUCAAGGCUUUUCACCCCUUCACCUUAUUCAGUAAGACAGGGUUUCUCAAUGAAACCCAGAGUUGGUGGGCUAGUCUUACUAGUCAGUUUGCCCUGGGGAACCUGUCUCUAAUCUUCCAAGGCUGCUAUUCCAGGUGGCUACCACACCCAUCCACACCCAGCAUCUGUGUGAAUUCUGGGGAUCUGAACUCAGGUCCUCAUCUUUUUGUGGAGGUCUUUGAAUCAAUUAGCCAUCUCUCCCUGGCCCACACCUACAUUAAAAAAAAAAACUGUAUUAAGUGGUGUGGAGGUAAUUGUCUGUAAUCUGAGUAUGCAGGGGCUGAGGCAGGAGAAUUGCUAAGAACUCAAGGCCAGCUUGAUAGUGCUGAGUUUUAUGACAGAGCUAUAUAAUGUGACCCUUCUUCAAAAACAUUACAAGUGAAAAAAGCAGAAAGAAAGAAGGAAAGAGAGAGAAAGGAGGGAAGGAGGGAGGGGAAAGAGGGAAGAGAAAGAGAAAGGAGGGAAGGAGGGAGGGGAAAGAGAGAGACCUAAGUGAGGUGUGGUGUGACAUGCCUGUAACCCCAGUACAUGCAAGAUGGAGGCAAUAGAAUCAGGACUUCAAAGUUGUCUUUGACUACAUAGCAAAUUCAAGGCCAGUUUGGGCUACACGAGACCCUUUCUCAGAAAGAUAGGCCAGGUGAAAUAUUACAUUUCUUUAAUCCCAGCACUCAAGGCAAAGGCAAGCAAGUCUCUUAUGAGUUUAAGGCCAGCCUGGUCUACAUUAGUGAGUUCCAGGUCAGCCUGAGCUACAAAGUGAGACCCUAUGUCAAACAAACAUACAUACAUAUAUAACAUGACAAAAUAACAACAAAAACCCACCUCAUGUGGAAAGGAAAAAAAAAUUUUUUUUUUUCCAUUUUUCAAGACAAGGUUUCUCUAUGUAACAGUCCUAGCUGUCCUGGAACUUACUUUGUAGGCCAGGCUGGCCUCAAACUCAAGAGAUUUGCUUGCCUCUGCCUCCCAAGUACGGAGAUCAAAGGUGUGCACCACCACCACCCGGCUAUGUUUUUAAUUCAUACUUGUAGAAAUCUUUGAAAUUUGGAUAUUGUCAGUAAAAAUGAAUAUUAUUCAAGGUAAUUGAAAGUUUUAUAAAAAUAUGACUGCAAGAAAUAUGACUUAGUGGGUUGGGGAUUUAGCUCAGUGGUAGAGCGCUUGCUUAGUAAGCGCAAGACCCUGGGUUCGGUCCUCAGCUCCAGAAAAAAAAAAAAAAGAAAAAGAAAAAAAGAAAAGAAAUACGACUUAGAAGUUAAACAAAAAGCCAGGUGGUAGUGGUGCAGGCCUUUAAUCCCAGCACUUGGGAGGCAAAGGCAGACGGAUCUCUCGAGGCCAGCCUGGUCUACAGAGAUCCAGGACAGGUAACAAAACUACAACAGAGAAACUCUUGUCUCAAAAAACAAAACAAAACAAACAAAAAAAAAGUCAAACAAAAUAUACAUAAGCUAAAAAUACAAUUAGAAAUGUGUGUGGUAUAUGGAGGGUAUACUCAUCCAUGCACACUUAAGGCUUGAGGAGAAUGUUGGAUGUCCUCUUCCACUCCCGUGUUAGGACAAAGGACUGUGGGCCUGAGACAACGGCAGGAAAGGGAUGUGUGGCAUCCUUUUGGCCUACAAUGUGUACAUAAACCACCCUGCAUUAGAGACGAACAGAAACAACUUAAUUGUGUAUACAUGCUGAAUCAGAAAGCAUGAAGGAAGUGCUCUCAAGGAGAGAGGCAUGGCCUCUUCCUGGACAGACGAGCCUAUUUAAUAAACUUUCUUGCCCUGCAUUUGAAUGCCUAAGCAAAAUUACUUUAUUUCAGGGGUAAGCAUUUGGCUUGUUCUAUUCAACACCGGCACCAGGCAUGAAGAAUAGAGUUAACAUCAGUGUUCACAUAAGAACACACUGGAUACUGCCCAGAACGUAACACUGAGUAGGCACAGUCCUUACUUAGCGGUAAGAGCUGUUUGUUGUAUUAGAAGCAGUAAAAGCUCUUAGGGAUCUCUUUCUACCCCAUUGCAGGUUGUAUUUCAUGUUCUCAUAGAACUGCUUCUUUUACACAGGUACUUAGAGGGUUAAACCAGAAAUGUCACUGGAGAAACCAACUCCAGUCAGAAAGUGUGGUGAUAUUGUGUUCCCCAAUAUAUUGUGCACCCUAAUAAACUUAUCUGGGGGUCAGAGAACAGGACAGCCACUAGAUAUAGAGGCCAGAAAAUAGUGGCACACACGCCUUUAAUCCUAACAUUCCAAAGGCAGAGAUCCAUUCGGAUCUCUGUGAGUUCAAUGUCAUACUGGAAACAGCCAGACAUAGUGACUCACCCCUUUAAUCCCAGGAAGUGUUGGCAGAAAGCAGAAAGGUAUAAAAGGCGUGAAAACCAGGAACUAGAGCUGGUUAAGCUUUCAGGCUUUUGAGCAACAGUUCAGCUAAGAUCCAUUCGGAUAAGGACACAGAGGCUUCCAGUCUGAAGAAACAGGAUCAGCUGAGGAAAUGGCGAGGUGAGGUGGCUGUGGCUUGUUCUGCUUCUCUGAUCUUCCAGCAGCCACCCCAAUACCUGGCCCCGGGUUUGUUUUUAUUAAUAAGACCUUCUAACUAUUCGUGCUACAAGAAAGUUUACGGUGACCUGUUCUUGAGACAGUUUCACUCGACAUCCCAGGCUAGUCUUGAACUCAUUAUGCAGUUCCUGAGCGGCUCCAACUCCUACACUCCAACUUCCUGUCCUAGCCUCCUGAGUGUUGGCAUUACUGGAGUGUACCCUACACCUGGCACCAAAUAUAUUAGGAAUUAGAGGGCUCUAAAGAUGUCUCAGUGCUUAGGAGCACUGGCUGCUCUUCCAGAGAACUGAGGUUCAAUUCUCAACAUCCACAAGGCGGUUCACAAGCACCUGUAACUCUAGUCCCAGGGGAUCUGAGGCCCUCUUCUGGCCUCCUUGGGCACUGCAUGCACAUGGCACACAUACAUACACACAGGAAAACACAGACAUAAUAAAAUCUAGAAUAAAAAAAAUAGACAUCUCUUUUGGCACUCAAUGGAUUUUACACAGGAUAUCAGAUUUUUCUAAAAUCAUACUGUUUGUCCUACUAUCCCAUUUUUCAACAGGAAUUACCCCAUUUUUCCCAAAAAGUAAUAUAUUUUGUAAGCCAAGUAUAGAGCACAUAAUGCAGAAAUUUCGGAAAGAAGUUUCACCUUUUUUUUCUCUUUUUGAGGCAGGGGCUCAUGUAGCUGAGGAUAACCUGACGACCUGUUCCUCCUGCCUCCAUCGCUCGAGUGUGAUUACAGGUGUGUGCCAUCACUCCUGGCCUUAGUCACUUAUAUAAUACACGAGAUGGUACCGUGAGUGGGAAACCUGAGGUAAGCACAUUAGAGGGAAGCCAGCAGGCACAGCUGGUGGGAACAGUAAAACGCCUCCCCCACCCUCAGGGAACAAAGGUUUGAAAGGGGAUGGACCAAAUAGACUAAGUACACAUACGUGGCGGAUAAUGAAGGGUGUAGAUCAUAGAGGAUGCACACUAGUGACUGAGAAAUCAACCCAAUUCCCAAGGGAAUAGUGCUGUCCAGGGAUACUUAUCCCCGACUGACCAUUCCCUCAGGUCUGCCCUUGCAAAACAAGACACACCCCAUGAAGAGGUGUGGCUGUGUAGUUCUAGCUAAGCAAACAAAAAAUGUAGCUUGGGAAGCUACAGGAAGAGAGUUACUUUAUUAUUAUUUAGCUUUAUCUAUGCAAUGACACACCUUAGAUACACAGUAACUUUCUCCCAGCAUUGAAAGAAAGAAAGAAAAGGCUUUAAAAAAAAAAUCUAUUACAAGUUGGGCACGGUGGUGCACACCUUUAAUCCCAGCACUGGGUGACAGAGACAGGCAGAUCUAUUAUUUCAAAGGCCAGCCUGAUCUACAUAAUGAGUUCCAGAACAGCCAGGGCUAUGAGUGGUCUGUUUCAAAAACCCCAAUCCAAAACAAAAUAAAAUGCACUUCUUUGUGUACGUGUGUGCAGGUGGCAUGGUCUGCAGGUGGAGGUCAGGACAACUUUCAGGAGGCAGUUCUCUCCUGCCACCAUGGAGUCCCAGGGUGCAAACUCAGGUUGGUGGCCAGUGCCUUCACCUGCUGAGCCAUCUCACCAGUUCACAACUUAUUUUUAAAACUAUGUCAGCCAAGCUUGGAACUUGUGGUGCUUCUGAUUCUGAGUGAAAAAAAUCACUCACACACAUGCACAGGCACAGGAACACGGGGUGUGUGUGUGUGUGUGUGUGUGUAUGUGUGCUUUUCUCUUUGGUAAGUAGAUUCAUUAAAGUAAGCCAUGCCUGUUCCUUUUGUAUUUCUUUCUUUUUUUGUUUUUUUCAAGACAGGGUUUCUCUGUGUAACAGCCCUGGCUGUCCUGGAACUCACUUUGUAGACCAGGCUGACCUCAGACUCUCAGAGAUCUGCCUGCCUCUGCCUCCAGAGAACUGGGAUUAAAGGCAUGUGUCACCACUGCCCGGCUUCCUUUUAUAUUUCAACACUAUCCCAGAACUUAGAAAGCAAACAGAUGCUUCUGCUGGUUAACAGUGAGGCGAGUUCACCCUACCAGUCAGAGCACAGGGCAGUUCUAAAGUCUUAGAAAAGCUUCCACAGGCUCAGUGGUCCUGAUUUGUCCCCAGACAUCCUGCUUCCUUUCUGUUGUUCACAGAGUAAUUCUCAUCUCAGUGUUAAGGUGACAUUCCAUCUUCUGGCAGGAAGCUCACUUAUUUUGCUAAAUAAUACAGGAGAGGCUAGGGAGAAGCUCAGCUGGUAAAGUGCUUGCCUUGCAAGCUGGUGGUGGUUCUCUCUCUCUCUCUCUCCCCCGCUUUCUCUCUCUCUCUCUCUCUGUAUGUAGUUAAGCCCAAUAAAAUGGUAAUGGAACAGAAGAGACUAUAACCAUAGUUUGGGGUUUGGAGUUUGAUCUUGCAUACAAACUACAGUGCUAAAAAUUCUCUUCGAGGAUUAGUACUUCAUUUGAAACCCAUGCUUACCUGUAGUAGUCCAGGCUACACAACCCAUUGGCGACCUACCAGAGAAUCAUCUCCUGAAACGCCUCUGACUUGAGCCAGGUGUGGUGGUGGUGCGGGCCUGUGAUUCCAGCAAUCAGGAGGCAACAUCAGAAAGAUUGGAAGUUUGAGCUCAGCCUGGGCUACAAAGCAAGCCUUUGCUUGAAGAAAAUCAAAACAAACACAAUUAUAGGUUCAAAGCCAAGUUUCUUUGGUCUAUUUAAAAGAUUAAGGCUGGAGAGAUGGCUCGGUGGUUAACAGCACUUGCUGCACAACUGUGGGGCCCUGAAUGCCCAGAAGCCAGUGCUGUGGAGGUGGAGCCGGAAGGACUGAUGAGGCUUGCUGGAUGCCGCCUAGAUGAAAACCAUGGGCUUCUGGUCUGGGGAGAGACCCUGCCUCAAAGGAACAAGAAGAGUAUUACUAGAAGACACCUGAUGCCAUCCUCUGGCCUCUUUGAACACUUCGGUGUGUGCACUAGCAUACAUAUGUACAUACACCCCGACUCCCAAGCACUGAAAUCAUCGAGUUGUGAGCUGCUAUGUGGGUAUUGGUAACCAAACCCAGGGCCUCUGGAAGAGCAGAGAUGCUCUUAAUCACCCAGCAACUUCUCCAGGUCCGCACCCCUCCCCUUCCCACUCCCAUGUUCACAUUAAAAACAAACAUACACUAGUGCUUUGGUCGUUAAACUUGCUCUAGUUUUGCACCGAUAGCUUGACCAGUGGUGAAGUGCUCCUGUCUGUAACAGGCUGACGAUUUAUCAUCACAUGCUGGCCCUGACACAAAUACACACACACUCAGUGGUUCGACUCUCCUUCAGUACUGAGUGUGGCUUUCUUCUUCUGAGGGCACUGUUCAGUUCGGCUCUCAGAAGCUACUCAGAAACCAAGCAUGGCGUCACAGCUGUAACUCCAGUCCUCAAGAGACAAAGGAAGGAGACUCGGGAGGUAAGGCUCUCUUUGGCCACACAGUGACUUUGAAGCCAGUCCAGAAUACAUGACAUCUUGUCACAAAACAAACCAAACAGGAAAAAACACACGCACAACACAACACUCAGUAAAUUAGGCUUCAACUGUUAACAAUUCUAUCAAAAUAAAUACAGAAUGUCUACGGAAUAAAUUAGUUUUCAUGGUCUGUGGUGGUAGCAUUGUUGACUGGGUUACCUCUGGAGAAUUCAUUAAAUUUCUCAGAAUCUGGGAGAGGAGGGCAUUUUAUUUUAUUUUAUUUAUUUUUUAUUAUUAUUCUUUUUUUGUUGUUUGUUUGUUUUUCGAGACAGGGUUUCUCUGUGUAGCUUUGUGCCUUUCCUGGAACUUGCUUUGGAGACCAGGCCUGCCUCUGCCUCCCGAGUGCUGGGUGGGAUUAAAGGUGUGCGCCACCACCGCCCGGCUUUAUUUAUUUUUAUUUUUUUAUUUUUUGGAAAAUAUAAACUGGAGGUUAUAGAAAGCAUGGUUAUCCCUCAGUCUAGGAACUAAAUUCCCUGACACACUUAGAUGGUGACUUUCAAUUUAGGAUCAAGGACUCAGCAACAGGCUUUCCCUGCAGUCUCCUGAAGCUGCCAGUAACAUUUGAGUCUGCAUUUACAACGGGGUCCUCAGCUACUGAGUGGGUUGAAUGCUGUGUCAGGAACUGGCCAAAGGUUUUAUAAACUUUGAGAUUUAACUAUGGGGUUGAAGGUGGUAGUUAUCAUUUUCAUCCUCAGCUUACAAAUGAAGAAACAACGUUAAACAAUUCCCACUCAUGGACUGAAUAGGUGGCUCAGAGGUUAAGAGCACUGGCUGCUCUUCCAGAGGUCCUGAGUUCAAUUCCCAGCAACCACAUGGUGGCUCACAACCAUCUAUAAUGAGAUUUGGUGUCCUAUUCCGAUGUGCAGGCAUACAUGCAGGCAGAACAUUGUAUACAUAAUUAAUAAAUAAAUCUUAAAAAAAUUUUCAACUCUUCCAAAGUUAGACAAGAUUGGUUUGAUCCUGGCAAAGAAAUGCUUUAGUAAGUUAGCAGCAAUCAGUGGUGGCAGUCAUGUAGUCUGAGCUAUACAGGAAGCUGAAGCAGGAGAAUUAUAUGAGUUCAAGUUUAUGUUUAUAUUACCUAAUGAUACAUGGUGGCAAAAGAAGCCAUUUGUCACAGCACAAGCCUUUAAUCCCAGCACUCGGGGAGGCAGAGGCAGGCUGAUCUCUGAGUUCAAGGCCAACCUGGUCUACAGAGUGAGUUCCAGGACUACACAAAGAAACCCUGUCUUGAAAAACUGAAGGAAAAAAAAAGGGACCCCACCUGUCCUCAUGUAUACACUUCAGCAGCUUUGACUUUUCUCAGAGUCCUCUCUAUCAUGGCCAUGCAGUUUUCCUCUGCUGAUCCAAGUUUUAUUUUACUCUUAGAAGCAAAACUCAGUAAAUCUGACUAAGUUUGGGCAGCGUAGCAAGACCCUUUACUCAAAGAACCCACGCUUGCUGUGAGUAUCUAAGGAAUUCUUAGUACCCAGAGGGUGGUCCAAGGAUGCUGGAUCCACGUGGCUGUAUCCUUUCCACUGGAGCAUCCACUUCACUGGAGGGCACUGUGUGAAACACAAACCUGGAGUUUGUCCCUUCGAGACCAGCGGUGCUGAAUGGUAAAGAAUACUGGGAAGCAUAGGAAAUCUGUAUUGGAUUCAAACACUUAGAAUUUAUAUUUUCAGGCAACUAGGGAGUUUUAGGCAAAGUACUUUUGAGUGUGCUGGGUGAGAACCUAGGUCCACAUACAUGCUCUAUCACUGAGCUACACCCUUAGCCCCACGUCAAGUACACAACUUCAAGACAUAUCACCCAAGUCAAGUAUUUCUGGGAAAAGUUGUUGACAAACUGUACAGUAAUCUGUGCAGGGAAGUGGAGCUGGGGCCGCACACACUGAGCAUAGUGUCAGCACUCAGCCUGUGCAGCUCUGUAAGCAGGGAUGGCACACCACACUACUCUAGAACCACACUGUUUCUUAGGCGACGAAAAUCGCAUCCUACACUUGGGGUUUUGGUGAAGGGAGAAAGAAAUGAGGAUUACAAAAGAAAAGAAUUUUGAAA